rnacentral:lncRNA from 1 species
GCUAUGAACUUUUUCAAAUCGAAGAAAUCCAAAUAAAUAUUGUCUAUACUAUCACGACUAUGAUCAUGACACAAAGGAGUAUAUUCAAUUCUAGGAUGAGAUCAAGAAUUUCUUCAGGCGUGGCCAUCUCGAUUGAUUCAUCCUAUGAAGGCAGGAGUAGCAGGAGGGGUGGCAGAGAUCCCCUUAGUUGGCAAAGCAACC